CAAAGACAGUGGUAACUGAAUGAAUAAUUAAAAAAGGGUGAUUUUAUGCUACCAUUGCUCGUUUCCUUGUGCAGUUUGGGAUUCCGCCUUGCGUUUUUGCAGUUUGCCGGUUGAUCCGCUCCUUCUCUACUGACUAACAACGUGGACGACUGGUGCGUCGAUUGCCAAUAUAAGAUCCAGCCACCUCGAAAAAAAUAUUUCCCUACCUUGGUUAUGGAAAUUUGGUGGCAGUUGAGGAAAGAAAAGAAAGGGGAUAUCUUUAGUUCCACAAGAAGAUAUGUGGAAGGUUGGCUUCCACAACUUGAAGCAUAUGGCAUUACAUAAUUUCUUCCAUCAGCUCUUGUAAUCUAUAAAUAUUCUUCAUACCUCUAAUCUUCCAUUUUAUACUUACGUUGUAAUGAACUUUCUUCUUAAUCGAUGCAAGAAAUAUUGUUGCCUUCAUUAAAAAUCCUUAAGCUGCUAAGCAUGAAAAUCGGGAGAAUAUGCUCGUCAACACCAAAAGCAAGCGCGUGUUUUGCUAUUCUGCAUACUAUCAACAAUCAAUGAAAUAAUCGAUGGAGAAAACUAACGAAUCAUGGCAAACCUUUGAGGUUGACAGGGAGCAAGAGUGGCACCUGCAGCAGCUACACCCACGUAGUUGCCACUUAAUUCUUCGCCCAGUGUUGCAACCACACAACGAUGAUAUAGAUUGACAAUUUCACAUCACUCUCCGGAAUAGAAAUUUGCCGACGUGGAUUGGAAAGUUGAGGAAGACGUGAGGGAACCUACAGCUAUGAAGUAGGGGACGCUAAAGGGUAAUGAACCGUCGGCCGGCCGCUUGAUUACCUCAUUAG
rnacentral:lncRNA from 1 species